CGCGGUAUUUUGACUGUGCGAAGGUAGCAUAAUCAUUAGUCUUUUAAUUGAAGGCUUGUAUGAAGGGUCGGACGAGAGAUAGGCUGUCUUCGUCGGAGGAGUUUAAUUUAACCUUUAGGUGAGAGGGCUUAAAUGUUCUAAAGGGACGAUAAGACCCUAUAAAGUUUGACAUUUUAUUUAUUAAAAAAUGAAGAGGGGGUGUAAUUAUUUAUUAGUAGAAGUAUUGUUUUGUUGGGGCGACUAGAAUAUAAAAAAUUAACUGUUUUAUGUUGUUACAGAGAUGUUUGAGUUUUUGAUCCUUAAUAAAGAUGUUAGAAUAAAUUACUUUAGGGAUAACAGCGUAAUUUUUUUUGAGAGUUCUUAUCGACAAAAAAGUUUGCGACCUCGAUGUUGAAUUAAAGAAUUCUUUAUAGUGCAGAGGCUAUAAAAGAAGGUCUGUUCGACCUUUAA
rnacentral:rRNA from 1 species